CUGGCAGAAUAAGUCUAUUCUAGAAACAUGGGACGUCGAAUCUUGCUUGUCUUCGUGGUGGUGGCAACCAUUCUGCUGUCAAUGGGAGUGGAGGCAGACCCAUUUAUGUUUCACCAUUAUUUCUACAAAAAGAAGCCACAUGAUCGCUAGACAACCACGACAUCCACAACCACAGUCGCUCCGUGAUUCGACUUGGCCGAUGUGACUUAUGAUGACUUGUUUUGGUGCGCUACUGCAACACAUCAUUGAUAUGGAGACUUCUUCACACAGCCUGCACUAUGAAUGAAGCACUGAUCUUCCAAUUUCUCGCACUGUUAUUUGCAUUUAAUAUCACCGAUAAGGAACUUCACAUGAAUUAUAUUACAAUUUAUUUUACAUAAUUCUGUAUUGACAAUUCUAAUGCCAUUUGUAACAUUCUUCAGUCUGUGAAUAAAUAUGUGAACUUUGA